rnacentral:rRNA from 1 species
AUGAACGCUAGCGACAGGCUUAACACAUGCAAGUCGAGGGGCAGCACAGGUAGCAAUACCGGGUGGCGACCGGCGCACGGGUGAGUAACGCGUAUGCAACUUACCUAUCAGAGGGGGGAUAACCCGGCGAAAGUCGGACUAAUACCGCAUGAAGCAGGGGCCCCGCAUGGGGAUAUUUGCUAAAGAUUCAUCGCUGAUAGAUAGGCAUGCGUUCCAUUAGGCAGUUGGCGGGGUAACGGCCCACCAAACCGACGAUGGAUAGGGGUUCUGAGAGGAAGGUCCCCCACAUUGGUACUGAGACACGGACCAAACUCCUACGGGAGGCAGCAGUGAGGAAUAUUGGUCAAUGGGCGUAAGCCUGAACCAGCCAAGUCGCGUGAGGGAUGAAGGUUCUAUGGAUCGUAAACCUCUUUUAUAAGGGAAUAAAGUGCGGGACGUGUCCUGUUUUGUAUGUACCUUAUGAAUAAGGAUCGGCUAACUCCGUGCCAGCAGCCGCGGUAAUACGGAGGAUCCGAGCGUUAUCCGGAUUUAUUGGGUUUAAAGGGUGCGUAGGCGGCCUUUUAAGUCAGCGGUGAAAGUCUGUGGCUCAACCAUAGAAUUGCCGUUGAAACUGGGGGGCUUGAGUAUGUUUGAGGCAGGCGGAAUGCGUGGUGUAGCGGUGAAAUGCUUAGAUAUCACGCAGAACCCCGAUUGCGAAGGCAGCCUGCCAAGCCAUGACUGACGCUGAUGCACGAAAGCGUGGGGAUCAAACAGGAUUAGAUACCCUGGUAGUCCACGCCGUAAACGAUGGUCACUAAGUGUCGGGGGUCAAACCCCGGUGCUGCAGUCAACGCAAUAAGUGACCCGCCUGAGUAGUACGUUCGCAAGAAUGAAACUCAAAGGAAUUGACGGGGGCCCGCACAAGCAGUGGAGUAUGUGGUUUAAUUCGACGCAACGCGAAGAACCUUACCAGGGCUUGACAUAUAAGUGAAUAAUUAAGAGAUUAGUUAGCUCUUCGGAGCAUUUAUACAGGUGGUGCAUGGUUGUCGUCAGCUCGUGCCGUGAGGUGUCGGCUUAAGUGCCAUAACGAGCGCAACCCUUGCCACUAGUUACUAACAGGUAAAGCUGAGGACUCUGGUGGGACUGCCAGCGUAAGCUGCGAGGAAGGCGGGGAUGACGUCAAAUCAGCACGGCCCUUACAUCCGGGGCGACACACGUGUUACAAUGGCGUGGACAAAGGGAAGCCACCUGGCGACAGGGAGCGAAUCCCCAAACCACGUCUCAGUUCGGAUCGGAGUCUGCAACCCGACUCCGUGAAGCUGGAUUCGCUAGUAAUCGCGCAUCAGCCAUGGCGCGGUGAAUACGUUCCCGGGCCUUGUACACACCGCCCGUCAAGCCAUGGGAGCCGGGGGUACCUGAAGUCCGUAACCGAAAGGAUCGGCCUAGGGUAAAACUGGUGACUGGGGCU